UACGUAGGUGGCAAGCGUUGUCCGGAAUUAUUGGGCGUAAAGCGCGCGCAGGCGGUCCUUUAAGUCUGAUGUGAAAGCCCACGGCUCAACCGUGGAGGGUCAUUGGAAACUGGAGGACUUGAGUACAGAAGAGGAAAGCGGAAUUCCACGGUGUAGCGGUGAAAUGCGUAGAGAUGUGGAGGAACACCAGUGGCGAAGGCGGCUUUCUGGUCUGUAACUGACGCUGAGGCGCGAAAGCGUGGGGAGCAAACAGG
rnacentral:rRNA from 1 species